GACGAACGCUGGCGGCGUGCUUAACACAUGCAAGUCGAACGGAAAGGCCCUGCUUUUGUGGGGUGCUCGAGUGGCGAACGGGUGAGUAACACGUGAGUAACCUGCCCUUGACUUUGGGAUAACUUCAGGAAACUGGGGCUAAUACCGGAUAGGAGCUCCUGCUGCAUGGUGGGGGUUAGAAAGUUUCGGCGGUUGGGGAUGGACUCGCGGCUUAUCAGCUUGUUGGUGGGGUAGUGGCUUACCAAGGCUUUGACGGGUAGCCGGCCUGAGAGGGUGACCGGCGACAUUGGGACUGAGAUACGGCCCAGACUCCUACGGGAGGCAGCAGUGGGGAAUAUUGCACAAUGGGCGGAAGCCUGAUGCAGCAACGCCGCGUGCGGGAUGACGGCCUUCGGGUUGUAAACCGCUUUCGCCUGUGACGAAGCGUGAGUGACGGUAAUGGGUAAAGAAGCACCGGCUAACUACGUG
rnacentral:rRNA from 1 species